GCAAUAAUUUAUGAGAAAGAAACUUACAACUACAUUACCUUUUCAGACAGGUGCUCUAGUUCACAGCUAUAGGGGAACAGGUGGAAUAUUUGAAGUUUGC
rnacentral:sRNA from 2 species